GCUACGAUCAGUAGCUGGUCUGAGAGGAUGAUCAGCCACACUGGGACUGAGACACGGCCCAGACUCCUACGGGAGGCAGCAGUUAGGAAUCUUGCGCAAUGGGCGAAAGCCUGACGCAGCCAUGCCGCGUGAAUGAUGAAGGUCUUAGGAUUGUAAAAUUCUUUCAGUGGGGAAGAUAAUGACGGUACCCACAGAAGAAGCUCCGGCUAACUUCGUGCCAGCAGCCGCGGUAAUACGAAGGGGGCUAGCGUUGCUCGGAAUUACUGGGCGUAAAGGGCGCGUAGGCGGAUGACUAAGUUGGGGGUGAAAGCCCGGGGCCCAACCUCGGAACUGCCUUCAAAACUGGUCAUCUUGAGUUCGGGAGAGGUGUGUGGAACUCCAAGUGUAGAGGUGAAAUUCGUAGGUAUUCGGAAGAACACCAGUGGCGAAGGCGACACACUGGCCCGAUACUGACGCUGAGGCGCGAAAGCGUGGGGAGCA
rnacentral:rRNA from 1 species